rnacentral:rRNA from 1 species
CAAUGUAUUUAGCUGACUGAUACUAAUAGAUCGAAGGCUUGAUCAAAUUAUUUACU